rnacentral:rRNA from 1 species
GUGCCAGCCGCCGCGGUAAUACAGGGGGGGCAAGCGUUGUUAGGAAUUACUGGGCGUAAAGCGCGCGCGGGCGGUUUGGCAAGUCAGGGGUGAAAGCCCGGGGCUCAACCUCUGAACGGCCUUUGAGACUGCCAGACUUGAGACCGGAAGAGGAGAGUGGAAUUCCCAGUGUAGAGGUGAAAUUCGUAGAUAUUGGGAAGAACACCAGUGGCGAAGGCGGCUCUCUGGUCCGGUACUGACGCUGAGGCGCGAAAGCGUGGGAGCAAACAGGAUUAGAUACCCCGGUAGUCC